rnacentral:lncRNA from 1 species
AAUGAACGAGAGAUAGAACUCAAAGAAUGGGUUCUUUGAGAGACAAGAAAGUAAUCAACAAAUAUAACAACCGAGUUCCUAUACCACAAGCUCCAAAGUAGUCGAUAAGAAUGAAAAUCCUUAUGACUACAUUGAGUGCAUAUACGAUAUAUACUCAAGGAAAUGGUAAAGUACCAUUUGACUCGAAAUAAUGAAAUCUUCAUAAGCUAAUUGGUAGCUUAAGGUGACUACAAUCAAAGAGAAUGGUUGACUUUAAAGGAACCAUUUUUGACGUAGUCUUAGUUUCAAUUAAUUCGAAGAUUGCUAGCUACAACUAAAUGGUGAUUCAAUGUUUGGACAUAAUAUGGGUUUCCGAAACCAUUAUUAAGAUAGUCUUGAUAAUAUAUGUCUAAAACUAUAAAUCACAAGACAUAUAAGUUGUAGAGAUCCAUCCAUCAUGGAUCUUAGCAAGUUAGUGGGAGCUAUUUGCAUUUUAUGAGGAAAAGGAUCAAAUCGUUUGAUUUCUCAUAAAGAUGUAAAUGAAUCUUUUGUUUACGAGUUUUACAAAAGAUUAGUGGGAGUUAAUCAUGUUCCUAAAAUUUAAGUAUAUAUGAUAUAUUAAUUUUGGAAAUGAAAAGAAUACUUCUUCGUUAAAGUUAUGACUUUAAUACAUUAUAUGAAGAUAGAAUGUAUAUGGGAGAUAUAGUCUAUAUACAUGGGAUGGAAAUCUAUAAUGAUAUAUUUCUUGAUAUAAUUGGAUUAUAUCAAUCCCUAAUAAUAGACAAUGGAUGCUAGGAAGUUUCUCAUAUGAUGAUAAACUUCAAUAAGAAGGACGAUUCUAGUGAGACUAGCAAGUUGCCCUUCUCAAAGGGAAUGUACCCUUUGACUCCCAAAGAAAUAAAUUGAAUCCUUUAUGCAUACGCAGAAAGGUGAUUUAUGUAUUUCAUAUUGUAUGAAAAACAUUGAUAUGAGUGUACCUAGAACGGUACAAGAUGAUAUCAGUGCAAGCCCAGGAUCAGAACCAUGGCAACUGUCAAGUGAGUCCUUAAGUAUUUGAGAAAUACUAAAGGAUAAAUUCCUCAAAGAUCGAGGAAGAAUCAAAGUAAUGUAAUGGAAGCGUAAAUGUAUUAGAUUAUGAAUCUAAUCCAUCAUUGGAUGUUUCUUCAUUAUGAAUGAAGAGAUAAACGAAUAUCUCUUUAUUAUGACUAAAUAGAUAUUUGGAUGGAAACAUUAAAGUAAUGACUUUAGUGUGUUCCAUUAUGAAUGCAAG